AUUUCGAAGACAACUAGGAUGUUGGCUUAGAAGCAGCCAUUCAUUAAAAGAGUGCGUAAUAGCUCACUAGUCGAGAGAUCUUGCGCCGAAAAUGUAACGGGGCUAAACUUACCACCGAAGCUACGGGCUUGAACUUAGUUCAAGCGGUAGGAGAGCGUCGUAACCGGGCUGAAGUCGUACCGUAAGGAGCGGUGGACUGGUUACGAGUGAGAAUGUUGGCAUCAGUAGCGAGAUGUGGGUGAGAAUCCCACAGGCCGAAAACCUAAGGUUUCCUCAGGAAGGUUCGUCCGCUGAGGGUUAGUCGGGACCUAAGCCGAGGCCGAAAGGCGUAGGCGAUGGACAAUCGGUUGAUAUUCCGAUACCACUACCAUCGUUAUUAUCGAGGGUGUGACGGAGAAGGAUAGUGUGUGCUAGCGAUUGGAAAUGCUAGUCUAAGCGUUUAGGGAGUUACGGUAGGCAAAUCCGCUGUAACAAUUCUGAGGCGUGAUGGGGAAGGUCAUUAAGACCGAAGUACAUGAUUCCAUGCUUCCAAGAAAAGCAUCUAGAGAGAGAAGUAGUGCCCGUACCGCAAACCGACACAGGUAGAUGAGGAGAGAAUCCUAAGGCCGGCGGAAGAAUUGCAGUUAAGGAACUAGGCAAAUUGACCCCGUAAGUUCGCGAGAAGGGGUGCCUGCGAGAGCAGGCCGCAGAGAAUAGGCCCAAGCAACUGUUUAGCAAAAACACAGGUCUCUGCUAAAGCGUAAGCUGAUGUAUAGGGGCUGACGCCUGCCCGGUGCUGGAAGGUUAAGGGGAACACUUAGCGCAAGCGAAGGUGUGAACUUAAGCCCCAGUAAACGGCGGCCGUAACUAUAACGGUCCUAAGGUAGCGAAAUUCCUUGUCAGGUAAGUUCUGACCCGCACGAAUGGCGUAAUGACUUGGGCACUGUCUCAACUGCAAAUCCGGCGAAGUUGUAGUGCGAGUGAAGAUGCUCGCUACCCGCGAUUGGACGGAAAGACCCCGUAGAGCUUUACUGUAGCUUAGCAUUGAGUUCCGAUAUUGUCUGUACAGGAUAGGUGGGAGACUGAGAAACUAGGGCGUCAGCCUUGGUGGAGUCAACCUUGGGAUACCACCCUGACAGUACUGGGGUUCUAACAGGACGCCAUGAAGCUGGUGACUGGACAUUGUUAGGUGGGCAGUUUGACUGGGGCGGUCGCCUCCUAAAAAGUAACGGAGGCGCCCAAAGGUUCCCUCAGAACGGUCGGAAAUCGUUCGUAGAGUGCAAAGGCAGAAGGGAGCCUGACUGCGAGACCUACAAGUCGAGCAGGGACGAAAGUCGGGCUUAGUGAUCCGGUGGUACCUCGUGGGAGGGCCAUCGCUCAACGGAUAAAAGCUACCUCGGGGAUAACAGGCUGAUCUCCCCCAAGAGUCCACAUCGACGGGGAGGUUUGGCACCUCGAUGUCGGCUCAUCGCAUCCUGGAGCUGAAGUCGGUUCCAAGGGUUGGGCUGUUCGCCCAUUAAAGCGGUACGCGAGCUGGGUUCAGAACGUCGUGAGACAGUUCGGUCCCUAUCCGGCGUGGGCGUAGGAUAUUUGAGAGGAGCUGUCCUUAGUACGAGAGGACCGGGAUGGACUGACCUCUGGUGUACCAGUUGUUCCGCCAGGAGCACAGCUGGGUAGCUAAGUCGGGAAGGGAUAAACGCUGAAAGCAUCUAAGCGUGAAGCCCCCCUCAAGAUGAGAUUUCCCAUAGCAUAAGCUAGUAAGACCCCUUGA
rnacentral:rRNA from 1 species